AUGAAUGCGUUCAAAGCAUACAAGGCGUGUGUCCCAAUUGCUUAUAGCCCCAAUCUAUACAUUACUCUGGUGAGGGGUAUUCCGGGGACCAGGAAGCAACACAGGCGCACUUUGGAAGCAUUACGUUUGGGAAAAUGCAACCGAACUGUCAUGCGAUGGAACACACCUACUGUUAGGGGAAUGAUCCAACAGGUCAAGAGAUUAGUUGUUGUCGAGACAGAGGAGAUGUACAAGGGCCGCAAACAGAAGGAGGAAAAUCACCGAGCUCUUCGUACUCCAUUGGUCAUAAACCAUCAGCCUCCUCAUGCUGAGGGUACCUUGUAA
rnacentral:lncRNA from 1 species